rnacentral:rRNA from 1 species
AACGAACGCUGGCGGCAUGCCUAACACAUGCAAGUCGAACGAGACCUUCGGGUCUAGUGGCGCACGGGUGCGUAACGCGUGGGAACCUGCCCUUAGGUUCGGAAUAACUCCCCGAAAGGGGUGCUAAUACCGGAUAAUGUCUUCGGACCAAAGAUUUAUCGCCUUUGGAUGGGCCCGCGUUGGAUUAGCUAGUUGGUAGGGUAAAAGCCUACCAAGGCGACGAUCCAUAGCUGGUCUGAGAGGAUGAUCAGCCACACUGGGACUGAGACACGGCCCAGACCCCCACGGGAGGCAGCAGUGGGGAAUUUUGGACAAUGGGCGAAAGCCUGAUCCAGCAAUGCCGGGUGAGUGAUGAAGGCCUUGGGGUGGAAAAGCUCUUUUCCCCGGGAUGAUAAUGACAGUCCCGGGAAAAUAAGCCCCGGCUACCUCCGG